AACGCACCUUGCACCCUCUGGUAUUCCGGAGGGUAUGCCUGUCUGAGUGUCACGUCAGCUCUCGUCCCCCCGUGUCCUGCACGGGGGGGUCGGACUUGGGUGUUGCCCCUAGCCGGGCUCGCCUCAAAUGCAUCGGUGGCCUUGCGGCCCUUGGUCCUGCGUGAUAUGUAUCGCUAGACCUCGGGACGGCAGGCUUCCUUGAAACCGCCCUCGCUCUGCGAGCGGACUCUUGUGAUAGACCUCAGAUCAGGUAGGACUACCCGCUGAACUUAA
rnacentral:misc_RNA from 1 species